CCUGGUGUAGCGGUGGAAUGCGCAGAUAUCAGGAGGAACACCAAUGGCGAAGGGCAGGUCUCUGGGCCACAACUGACGCUGAGGAGCGAAAGCGUGGGUAGCGAACAGGAUUAGAUACCCUGGUAGUCCACGCCGUAAACGGUGGGCACUAGAUGUGGGGCUCAUUCCACGAGUUCCGCGUCGCAGCUAACGCAUUAAGUGCCCCGCCUGGGGAGUACGGCCGCAAGGCUAAAACUCAAAGGAAUUGACGGGGGCCCGCACAAGCGGCGGAGCAUGCGGAUUAAUUCGAUGCAACGCGAAGAACCUUACCAAGGCUUGACAUAUACGGUUUAUCCCUAGAGAUAGGGAGUCCUUCGGGGCUGUAUACAGGUGGUGCAUGGUUGUCGUCAGCUCGUGUCGUGAGAUGUUGGGUUAAGUCCCGCAACGAGCGCAACCCUCGUUCUAUGUUGCCAGCGCGUAAUGGCGGGGACUCAUAGGAGACUGCCGGGGUCAACUCGGAGGAAGGUGGGGAUGACGUCAAAUCAUCAUGCCCCUUAUGUCUUGGGCUUCACGCAUGCUACAAUGGCCGGUACAAAGGGCUGCAAUGCCGCAAGGUGGAGCGAAUCCCAAAAAGCCGGUCUCAGUUCGGAUUGAGGUCUGCAACUCGACCUCAUGAAGUCGGAGUCGCUAGUAAUCGCAGAUCAGCAACGCUGCGGUGAAUACGUUCCCGGGCCUUGUACACACCGCCCGUCAAGUCACGAAAGUCGGUAACACCCGAAGCCGGUGGCCUAACCCGUAAGGGAAGGAGCCGUCUAAGGUGGGAUUGGCGAUUGGGACUAAGUCGUAACAAGGUA
rnacentral:rRNA from 1 species